AAAAGGCAAAAACCAACCAAGCAAACAAAUAAACUUCUCAGUUUCUCACGUACACAAAAUUCAAUUCCAUUGUCUCAUUGCCGAAACGCAAUGGAAUUUUCCUUUCCCAACAACUCUGACUAUAAAUAAGACCGUUAAUUCAGUUGCCAGCUCAUUCGUUUAUCUGGUGUAUUACAAGUGACAUCUAUAGUUUAAAAGUUGAAUUAAAAAGAAAAGUUUCUUUUUUAUUGUGUGGUUAAAGUUUUCAAUUUUUGUUUGAAAAAGUAGAAAAGAAAAUGUAUUUGAAGUGUGAAGAAAAAGUUUUGAAAAAGUGCACUUUGUUGUUGGAAAAUUGCAUUGGCAUCAAUCAACGUCUGCUAGAUCCUGGAUAGUGUUUGGUAUAUUAUAUAAAAAAUUUGCUGAAUUCUGGAAUAGCUGGUGUGUGAAAAAAGAAAAUUUUUCUCUCCUAUCAUCGAUGGGCCCUUAAAAGAGGUUGCGCAUAGGCGUUAUUUUCCUGUGAAGGGCGUUUUUUUAAUCUCGAAACACUCACAAAAUUUGGAAGGAAUUUUAAAGAAGUUUAAAGAGAACCAACUGGCAUAAGAUGGUGCUGGAGAUUAAGGGCGUGCAAAAUUAAGGGAAAUUAUGAGAUUUAAUUCAAUAAAGACCUCAAUCCAGGUUUGCAUAGGAAGGUAAAUAAAUUAAACAAAAAAAAAAAGAAAUCGACAAUAGUGCAAAGUUUUAAUUAAAAUCCAAUAGUUCAUAAGUGUUUUUUUUU